UACAGCCACAUCACGUUGAAAUACUUGUUCCCGUACGAUCACUGAAGUUAAGCAAAGUCGAGCUUGGUCAGUACCUACAUUGGGGAUCAUUUGGGAAUACACGGUGCUGUAAG